rnacentral:lncRNA from 1 species
AUAGAUGGGUUGUAGGAGGCUAGAUCUACGUUUUGGAUCAAUUGCAUGGCCUGGAAUGCUUCUGUAUGGAUUCAGACCGGUGGUACUCGGCGAGUCACAUGGGUAGACUCGACGAGUUGCUUGAAGAUGGCCUAGAACUCGACGAGUUGGAAGAACAACUCGGCGAGUAGGUUGAAGAUUGCCUUAGACUCGACGAGUCUGUUCUUGGACUCGGCGAGUCUUGUCGAAGAGUCCCAAUCUUUUCUGGUUGAGCCGUGAAUCGGUGAGUCAAGGGGUGACUCGGUGAGUUGUGUGUGAGUGGACUCAGAGUUGUUGGACUCGGCGAGUCUCGGGGUGACUCGGCGAGUUGAGUCGCGGAUUGGGGAAAUUCUGAGCAUGGGGACUCGGCGAUUCAUCAGGUUGACUCGGCGAGUAGAGUCAGUCAGGGGUUGACUUUUACCAAGGGUUGACUAGUUGUUUCCAGGGGCAUCUUGGUAAUUGUUGGAUAUUGUUUUGAGUUCAGUGCUUUGGUGGUUGUCCAGUGGCGGAGAUCGUAUCAGUGAUCGGAGCAGCAUGGGUUAUCUGUUCAGUCGGCAGUUUCGAGGUGAGUUAUCCUCACUAUAUCAACAGGGUCUAAGGCACCAAGGCCGNNNNNNNNNNNNNNNNNNNNNNNNNNNNNNNNNNNNNNNNNUUCAGUCGGCAGUUUCGAGGUGAGUUAUCCUCACUAUAUCAACAGGGUCUAAGGCACCAAGGCCGACCCUUUAUCGGAUUGAGAUCCGGGUAUUUGUUGUAUGUUAUUGCUUUGAUAUGUUGCAUCCUGGUAGCUAGGAUGGUAUAUGUUAGAGACUUGAUUGAGAUUGGUAUCCUGAGAGAGAAGGUGAUGCUAUGCUAGUGACCGGUUAGGUCGGUAUCCUGGUUAGGAUGAUGAUAUGUUAUGUGAUCUGUUUGAUCUGCUUGUUGGUUGUGAAUUGCUAUAUGAUUGUAGGUAUAUGUGAACAUGGUUGUUUGGACUGGAGUUGGGUUGAGGUGGGUCCUGCUUUGUGUUGUAGGCCAAGAUACCUAGGGCAGACCGGUUGUCCCGAAGACUUGACCCGACCCGGCAUGGUCCAUUUGGGUUGCAUACCA